rnacentral:rRNA from 1 species
AGUGAACGCUGGCGGCAGGCCUAACACAUGCAAGUCGAACGGAUGAACAGUAAGAGCUCGUGCUUACGGGUGCCGACUGGCGGGUGGGUGCGGAGUAUCUCCCAGGCUGCUUUUUAGAACGUGAUAAAGCGGGGGCUCAUACGCUAUUCCCGCUGAGGGCGUAAGGGGGAGAGCAGGGGACCUUAGGACAUCGCAUGAUUGUAUGAGGGAUUAGCUAGUUGGUGGGGUAAAGGCCUACCAAGGCGACGAUCCGUAACUGGUCUGAGAGGAUGAGCAGCCACACUGGAACUGAGACACGGUCCAGACUCCUACGGGAGGCAGCAGUGGGGAAUAUUGGACAAUGGGCGCAAGCCUGAUCCAGCCAUGCCGCGUGUGUGAAGAAGGCUUUCGGGUUGUAAAGCCCUUUUGUUUGGAAAGAAAAGCAGUAGGUUAAUACCCCGCUGUUCUGACGGUACCCAAAGAAUAAGCACCGGCUAACUUCGUG